UCUCCAGUGGGGAAGAAGGAAUAACAAGAGGAGCAUUUUUGGAGCAUUUAUUAACAGUAUAGGCUAGGCUUUUUUUCUGUGUAUUUUAUAUGUGUCUAUUCAUUUAAUGCCCUUGAUAAUCCACUGAAAGAGGUGUCAUUAUUAUCAGCCCAUUUUACAGAAGAAGAAACUGAAACAAGAAGACAUUGUCCUAGGUACUGUGCAUACGGCAGCAGACCAAACAAAGCCACUUCCCUCUCUUGCUUCAUGGCGCUUACUUUGCAGUGUGGAAGAUGAGCAUCUCAGCAUUUCAGAGGCGAAGAAACUGGCCUAGCCACCACGUGGUGGCACUUGCAGCCUGAGUCAGCAGAUCCCCAGGCAAAUGAAGACUCUGAGAUGAAGACAGCUGAGCGCACGAUGGGGUAGGUCAGCCUCCCUCAUGGAAAUUCUGUGUGCCUGAGGCCCACCCUUCCAGUGCAGAUGGAGGGAUGGGAUGGAAAUGAAUCUAGGGGAACGCAUCCCAGCUGUGAUCCAGCCACCUCUGCGUUUGAAGGCUGGGGGUUAUUCCCUCCUCAUGGUUGCCAUGCAUUCCUAUGUUUGCAUGUCAUGCUUGGAACUGCCGCAGCCACUUUGUGACAGCCUGAGAAUGAAUCCAGCGCUAAAAUCAGUCUAGCAAAAGGAGGAGAAACACCUGGGUCUCCAUGAUGUCACUGAGCAAGUGAAUUGACCAGCUGUGAGGAUAUAAGCAUAAGAUGUCUGGAACCAUCUUCAUCCAAUGCUAGCCAUCGUUAUUUCUAGACGGUGGAAUUUCUAGAUGGCGGAGUCUGGGGCUGGCUGUGUGACCUUGAACAAACUGCUUAGCUUCUCUGUUCUUCAUUUGCUCAUCUAUAACCAAGAUGAUUGCCACACUUACCUCCAAUGACUGCCCUGAGGGUACAAUGAUAAUGCAUGUUAAGGUGGCCUAUAAGUGCCAGUUACUACUUAACUCAAUAUCCACAAACAGCGCAGAAGGACUAGAUGCUUCCAUUGGUCUGUUUAAGACCGAUGAGAGCUCUUAUUAUUCCUGAAAGAGUUAUCACAGCUGGAGGAGCAGCAAUGCAAUUCUUGCAAUAAAAGAGGUGGUAAGUGAAAUCAAAA